rnacentral:misc_RNA from 1 species
GUGAAUCAUCGAAUUUUUGAACGCAAAUUGCACUCUCCGGUUUUCCGGGAGAGUAUGCCUGUUUGAGGGUCAGCCUAAAAAAAAUCGACAUUGUUGCUGUUAUUUAAUGGUGACUCUCGUCGGAGAUUGGGUUAUCUUAAACCUUUUUUUUUUUUUUUGGUUUAAGCGAUUUAAAAUUUUUUUCCCGGUUUCCUUAAACGUUUCUAAGAUUUUCUUUUCUUAUACGUUUA